rnacentral:rRNA from 1 species
GUCGCAUUAGCUAGUUGGUGAGGUAACGGCUCACCAAGGCAACGAUGCGUAGCCGACCUGAGAGGGUGAUCGGCCACACUGGGACUGAGACACGGCCCAGACUCCUACGGGAGGCAGCAGUAGGGAAUCUUCCGCAAUGGACGAAAGUCUGACAGAGCAACGCCGCGUGAGUGAUGAAGGCUUUCGGGUCGUAAAACUCUGUUGUUAGGGAAGAACAAGUGCUAGUUGAAUAAGCUGGCACCUUGACGGUACCUAACCAGAAAGCCACGGCUAACUACGUGCCAGCAGCCGCGGUAAUACGUAGGUGGCAAGCGUUAUCCGGAAUUAUUGGGCGUAAAGCGCGCGCAGGUGGUUUCUUGGGUCUGAUGUGUAAGCCCACGGCUCAACCGUGGAGGGUCAUUGGAAACUGGGAGACUUGAGUGCAGAAGAGGAAAGUGGAAUUCCAUGUGUAGCGGUGAAAUGCGUAGAGAUAUGGAGGAACACCAGUGGCGAGGGCGACUUUCUGG